UGCGCAGGCGGCCUGAUAAGUCAGGGGUGAAAUAUGACGGCUCAACCGUCAAACGGCCCCUGAAACUGUCUGGCUUGAGUCCGGGAGAGGAUGGUGGAAUUCCUGGUGUAGCGGUGAAAUGCGUAAAUAUCAGGAGGAACACCGAUGGCGAAGGCAGCCAUCUGGCCCGGUACUGACGCUCAGGCACGAAAGCUAGGGGAGCGAACAGGAUUAGAUACCCUGGUAGUCC
rnacentral:rRNA from 1 species